AUACGGAGGGUGCAAGCGUUACUCGGAAUCACUGGGCGUAAAGCGCGCGCAGGCGGGCUGAUAAGUUGGAUGUGAAAGCCUACGGCUCAACCGUAGAACUGCAUCCAAAACUAUUUAGCUAGAGUGUGGGAGAGGAAGAUGGAAUUAGUUGUGUAGGGGUAAAAUCCGUAGAGAUAACUAGGAAUACCAAAAGCGAAGGCAAUCUUCUGGAACACUACUGACGCUGAGGCGCGAAAGCGUGGGGAGCAAACAGGAUUAGAUACCCGGGUAGUCC
rnacentral:rRNA from 1 species